rnacentral:rRNA from 1 species
GAUGAACGCUGGCGGCGUGCCUAAUACAUGCAAGUCGAGCGAACGGACGAGAAGCUUGCUUCUCUGAUGUUAGCGGCGGACGGGUGAGUAACACGUGGAUAACCUACCUAUAAGACUGGGAUAACUUCGGGAAACCGGAGCUAAUACCGGAUGAUAUUUUGAACCGCAUGGUUCAAAAGUGAAAGACGGUCUUGCUGUCACUUAUAGAUGGAUCCGCGCUGCAUUAGCUAGUUGGUAAGGUAACGGCUUACCAAGGCAACGAUGCAUAGCCGACCUGAGAGGGUGAUCGGCCACACUGGAACUGAGACACGGUCCAGACUCCUACGGGGGGCAGCAGUAGGGAAUCUUCCGCAAUGGGCGAAAGCCUGACGGAGCAACGCCGCGUGAGUGAUGAAGGUCUUCGGAUCGUAAAACUCUGUUAUUAGGGAAGAACAUAUGUGUAAGUAACUGUGCACAUCUUGACGGUACCUAGUCAGAAAGCCACGGCUAACUACGUG